UGAGGAAUAUUGCACAAUGGAGGAAACUCUGAUGCAGCCAUGCCGCGUGCAGGAUGACGGCCCUACGGGUUGUAAACUGCUUUUUUACAAGAAGAAACAUUGGUACGUGUACCAACUUGACGGUAUUGUAAGAAUAAGCACCGGCUAACUCCGUGCCAGCAGCCGCGGUAAUACGGAGGGUGCAAGCGUUAUCCGGAUUUAUUAGGUUUAAAGGGUUCGCAGGCGGAAUUUUAAGUCAGUGGUGAAAGCCUAUAGCUCAACUAUAGAACUGCCAUUGAUACUGAUAUUCUUGAGUAUAGAUGAAGUGGGCGGAAUAUGUCAUGUAGCGGUGAAAUGCAUAGAUAUGACAUGGAACACCAAUUGCGAAGGCAGCUCACUAAACUAUUACUGACGCUCAUGAACGAAAGCGUGGGGAGCGAACAGG
rnacentral:rRNA from 1 species